rnacentral:misc_RNA from 1 species
UGGUAAUGGUAAUGGUAAUGGUAAUGGUAUAUCCAAGGCACAGAGUGAUGCUGAUGGUGGAUCACUUCGCCUUCCAGCAUUAACUUCUACACAGAGAAAACAAGAGAUACCAGCGAGGCAAACAACCAGCGGUUCUUCAAGAGAGGAUUCAGAUGAUGAUGAUCUUGAUGGAGAUACAGGAACCAAUGAACAUAUGGAUCCUGCUGAUGAAAAACGUGCAAGGAGGAUGCAGUCAAAUCGAGAGUCAGCCAGACGUUCAAGAAGAAGAAAACAGGCACAGCUAAAUGAACUCGAAGCACAGGUUGGUCAUCUGAGGGAUGAGCGCACUUCAUUGCUAACUCGCUUAACAGACAUAAAUAAGAAGUGUGAUGAUGCUUCUGUUGACAAUAGAAUUUUGAAUGCCAAUAUUGAAACAUUAAGGACAAAGGUCCAAAUGGCUGAAGAUCAAGUUAAACGAGUGACUGGUUUGAACCCUCUGCUUCUAGCAAGAUCCAACAUGCCCAGCAUAGGGAUGCAGUUUGUUGCUGGUCAAACCGAUGCAUCUGCGGGUGUUGCUGUGCCGAUGCAACCAAACAACAACCAUUUCUUUCACCAUUCAGUUCCUAAUAUCCCC